UGGGAUGUGGCUCAGUGGCAGAACAUUUGCCUGGCAUGCAUGAGACCCUGGGUUUGAUAACCAGCAUCGCAG
rnacentral:tRNA from 1 species